CGUGUAGGCGGCUCGGCAAGUCGGGUGUGAAAGCCCUGGGCUUAACCUAGGAAGUGCACUCGAAACUGCCAAGCUUGAGUUCUGGAGAGGAAGGCGGAAUUCUCGGUGUAGAGGUGAAAUUCGUAGAUAUCGAGAGGAACACCGGUGGCGAAGGCGGCCUUCUGGACAGCAACUGACGCUGAGACGCGAAAGCGUGGGAGCAAACA
rnacentral:rRNA from 1 species